rnacentral:lncRNA from 1 species
UAUAAAUAGGACUUGGGAAACGACUUUUUAAAUUUGGAGGGUUAAGUUUGAAAAAUUAUUGCGUUUCAACAUUUCACUUCCAUUAUUUUUUUUUUCCCACAGCAGGAUUCCAGGACACAUUUACGACCGUCAUAAUUGGAGAGACAGCCCUGCCCCUCCAAGGCCACCCUGCAGGCUUUGUCUACCAGGCACUUCCUCCUCUCUCCCAGGAAGCACGUGUGACUCUAACACUCCCUUGCGCUCCCACGUUGCCUCUUGGAGAUUCUGGGGGAGAAGGCGGUUUUGACUUCUGUGAUUCGAAGAUGCUCUCCCAAACAGCAGAAGGAUGUUGCUUGGCUGGCAGUGGGCACACAUGCUGGCCACUGCCCAGAUCCCCUGGCUGUAGGGUGCCAGGGCUGGGAGAGUCCUCCCACACCCCUGAGCACCACGGCAUUCAUGGGGAGACUGAGGCACAGACAGGCUGUGCAUUCCCAGCUUGCUCUGCUUGCUCCUGGACCAAGUAUCCAACCUGGAAAGUCCUCCCAGUGGAAAUAGGCAUUCUCUCAGCCUCCCAGCGCAGGGAGAAAUAGGAAAGGGCCCUUCUUAGAGGCAGCACAGUGCUUGGCACAUGGAAAGCACCUGGUUAACUUUGCUAAAGAAAAAUGAUUCUCCAAAGCCCCUUAGCGAGGGCCCUCCCACUCAACCUCUCCUUUCCUCAGAAGCCUGGCCUCCACUAGAGGCCAUUCUCUCUGGAGCAGGAUGCUGCUUUGUCCUCAGAGCUGUGCUUCCCAGGUGAGUACCACUCCCCUCCACUGGAUACAGACAAAGAGUCUGCAUCCUCACAGCCUAGCAUGGUGCCUGGCCCCGUCGGACUCCCAACAAAACAUGUGUUCCCUCCCUUCCAGUGGGAAAGAGCCUCUUUUUCCUUCUGGAAGCAGACUACCUGGAAAUGAAUUUAAGUUUUUGAAAACUGCU